GGAGAUCUAUCUCCGUCCAUUCCAGAGAGGCGUGGGUCAUGUGACCCACAGCCGAAAUUGACAGAUUUCUCUGUGCUAGUGCUGUGUGCUUUUAUAUGCGUGCACGGGGAAGAGCGAGUGUUGUCGUGGGUCCUGAAAUACUGCAUAAAUACGAUUUAUGAACGUUAAUACUUUUAGAUUGUUGAAAUAUCCAGUUUUAAAAUCCUUCAAAAGAAAAAACAACCGCACACUGAAUAUGCGUAAAGAUUGCGCGAGUGCGGAUUUUAAUACUGAUUUAACCAAAUCCAACGUUAAGGACAUAUGAAAUUAAUUCUACAGCGUCUGGUUAUUUUCAUUGUUAUAUGACCACUUUACUGGCGUUAAAACCGUCGGACGGCUUUUAUAAAUAUUAUGAAUCUGCAUAUUGCAUAGUUAUGUAGGAUAUUCGCUAUAUGGCACGGGUUAUGUAACGUACUCUAGUAUAUAUAUAAGCGGGAAGUCUGUACAUUUGCUAAACUGAUCAGUUAAUCUACUAUUUGCUACUGUUGCUACUAAAAUUUGCUUUAGUACACAAUGCAGUAUAUGUGGUAACGCUACACUUAUGUACCAGCUGUAUGUGAAAGUGUAUGUGUGUGUUAUUUUAAAAAAAACAUUCUUAUAGGCUACUCGGGAAAUAUAAUGUGUGUGAAUAUCUGGAUAUUACACACAACAUCGGGUAGUCUAUAUUUGUUUGAAUCCACUGUAACUUUCUGCGUAGAGGGGCGAGGUUCACGUUCAGGUUUAUUCCGGACGUUUUUUGGGUUUUCUUCUCAAUUGUGAAUAAUUCGAAAAAUGCUCCGAUUCGUUUUCGCAUUCUCCUAAGGUUGAGUAACAACAGAGUAAAAUUGCGACUGCGUAAACAAUUCCGGGUGUACAAGUCUGACUAGAUGGUAAACAUGCGCUUUGACGCGAUCACGUAUAGAACCACAGAGUCUUAAAAUAAAUAUACCAUUUUAUACAAGUUAAACAACUGCCAAUUGAACUGCAAUGUACUGAAUGAAAAACAAUUUCGCAUUAGACUACAGUAGUGGACAAAAAUGUACAAAUAGGUCACUGACUAUUGGGAAAACAAAUAUUUUCACCAUGGCCGUCCUCAUCUUAUUAAUUACGCAUUUAACAAUAAAUAAUAAAACUAAUCACAACGUGUGUGUAAUAUAAUUGAAAAUAAAGCAAUCCAUUCUUAUAUUAAUGUUUUCUUCAAAUUUUAUUUGCGAGUGUUUUCAUUGCUAACGUCCAGCAACGCAAAAUGGGGGGCUUUGUAACGUUCCGAGAUGUAGCUUAGCCUGCGCGUAAAAAUUAGAGCGUAGCGUUAAAAUAAAUCGUCCCUUUCAAAAAUAUUUGAGGCAUAACACAUAAAGCCAGAGAAAACACAUAUUCCUCAACACCGGAAGGUCUCGGUUUAAGCUGAAACGAGAAUACGAUUUAGAAAGGAAAAUAUAAGGGUCCAUGGUCAAUUUUAAAGAUCUAGGUAAAGUAGGCCUAGUAUCGAGGCAUGAAAAAUAAACAUUCUGAGGUUUCAGUCAGUUUUAUAGUUUUCUCUGGACCUUUACAUAUACAUUGAAAGACAAUUUUUAUGAGGUAUAAAUUAUACAUUUAGGUCUAAGGUACUACAAGCAUCGUAUUCUUAACUAGCUAUUUGCGCAUCAAGUUUUUAUUCUACACAAAACGGUAUACCGUACUCCUUUCUGAUUUCUGAUUGCGAUUCUUUAGAAUUUUACCUCUUCCCUCCUUACAGUAACCUUUCUCGUGUGUGUGUGUGUGUGCGUGUGCGCGCGCGCGUGUGUGAGAGCGUGGUGCGUGUGUGUAUUGCGGUCUAUUUAGGCAAAAUAAUUAAAAACUGCUCAGUAUAAACGUGCAGGCUAGUAACACACAGGUGUUGUAAAUAAAAGGGUUUUCAGCAUAAUAAAAGCAUUCGGACAAUGGAAUCCUUACAUUAACUCUCGUGAUGCAUCUACGUCUUUCAGGACUGUAAGUUAGUAUAGCAAAACAAUUUAAUUGAACACAUACAAGUGCUGGCUCGAUUGCCUGAUGUUGCUAAAUAUACUUUUAAUCUUCUCGAGAACACCUCGGUAUUAUUCUGGCGGGCCAUGUCUCAUUAACAUGCCUCACAUUUGAAUAAUUGUAACAAAGAGCCAAGUCUUUGCCUUCGUGGCGACACGCUCCGCCUCUGAGUCAAUUCAGACAAAUUCUACCACUUGUGUUGGGGCUUUUAAGCCAUAAUUGAAUGCAGGAUGCCCACGAAAGCCAAAUCCAGUCAGAGACUGACCUGCGGUUUUUUACCGCUUCUGGUAGUCAACUGAGGAUUUUUUUCACUGUAGACAUGACAAAACUGACCAACCGUGAUCGACAUACGCCACCUACGUGGAAAUCCACCAUCUCUGAUGAAAUUAGGAGCCAAAACUAACCGUCGUCAGUGACACAAAGCCGGUUUAUGAAAGGACUCAGGGAGAAUUGAAGGCUGAGACGUCGCACCGAAGAAAUCUUCACAAGUGAACUCAGUGGCUGCAACUACUACAAAUUGAAAUGUGACGAACGGUCUGAAAAAUUUCAAGAAAAUGAGUCGGAAACUCCUGGAUCUUGUGGGGCGCAAUGUAUACAGCCACCGAACGUGGGGCCCCGAACUGCAUUAUAUAUAAUAAGAUUAUGUUUUAGGCAGCAAAUGCAACUCAUAUAUUUUCACUUGUUGUAAUAAUGAUUAUCAUUAUUAGCAUACUUAUUUUAUAUCUUAAUAAUAGGUAUCAUAUACGCAAAAUACAAAACUUUGUAGAUAGUCCCACUGUUAGGAAAUAUACAUUUCCCGUGGCUUUCUGUAUAUAAGGUAUUUCCCGUUGUGUAAUGCGUUUAGUUUAGAUCAGAAUAAAAACGUAGAAAUUGUUUAGCCUUAAAUGCGUUUGGUCAGUUUAAUAUGUGCCAAAAUGUAUCUUUCCCCGCUUUCUGUUGAAGUAUUUCUUUGAAAUUACAUGUGUAACAAUUGCCCACCGCCGAAAGGUAUUGAGCGAUACCCAAACUCUGACUAUUUUACUCAAAAUUUUAAUAUUGUGAGCUGAGGGUAAAGUUAUUGGCGUUAUUGUGUCGGCUGUACGCGAUUAUUCUUUUCGUUCUGAAACUGUUUGGAAUAUUGCUGUUGUCUUCGAAUCGGAUAGACUAUUUUCUUGGCAUUCUGCGCUACCAAUAUAUACAUGUAAUAUCUUUUCAGGUAUUAGAAAUGAACGUUAUUGGUAAAUAUCGGUACAAUCACAUAAGCAUUAAUAUGUCGGGCAGAAUGUAAUGUGCAGAAAUUCAUAGAACUGGACCGGAUAUAUAGAUUAAUUUGCGCAAUUGUAGAUAAGAGUAUUUUUAUUGUGUAGGCUGUGCGAAUUCGGGAUUUACAGAUUUAAUAUAACAAAUAAAAUUAUUAUUGUUAUUAUUAGUAUUACUAUUAAGGGUUUUGAUAAUUGAUAAUGUUUUUUUUUAUUCGAACAAAAAAUGUCGACCUCUAAAGGCAGUAAACAAAGUUUGCAUGCUUAAUGAAAAUGCCAUAGCUAAAAUUAUUUAAAUUUUGUCAACAUAGAUUGUCCGUGAUCAGAAGUGAAGAAGGGCGAUUUUAAAACGGUGACUGUCAUUAAGCACUGUCUUCCGCACACGUGUAUGUCUGAAGGCAAAAAAAAAAAAAAAUCGGCUCGCGGGUGUCAUGGUGGACGGCGAAGGUCAACGUCAGAUGACCCGAGCCUGGCAAGCUAAUCCUUAUACUCCACCAUGUUUUUUUUUAACCUCUUGUGCGCUAGGGCGAGAAACUAAGAGAUUUGGCUUCCAGUUAUGAGCCGCACAAAGCCUGUGUAUUCCUGAUGAAUUAUUUAAGAAGAUGACAAGCCGAGAAAAAUCAUUUCCUGUGUACAAACACAAAAUGGGAUAGGCCUUACAACAAAACGCAGUGUUCAAACAUUAAACAGUUGCAGAGAAUCUGAAAUAUAUAUAUAUAUUUCAUUUGGUUCACAAAGUAAUAUGAAUUUAUUGUUUUAAAAUAGUGAUUGGACGUUUUCAGCUAUUGCCUUUUUUAGUUGCAACGACACGCAAUCCUUACUAUUAGCGUCUUUAAAGGGUACAUUUGAUCUGUUUGCUGCGCCGCAAGAAUGUGUGCAGUGUCGUUUGUUAUAACUAUUUUUAACCAUUAGGUGGCAGCAGAUGCCUCAACAUGAGAUUGCAGAUGUUUCUGACAAUUUGCUCACGGCUAAUUCCAGUUGUCGGCCUUAUUCGGGUUUCUCUGCCGUUUUUGAAUGGCGUGCGCGCAAGAAAGAAUGAUGCAAGCAACUAGUGAAAAACAUAAUUGUAGUUUGGGAGACAGAUCGUACUGUAAAAUAGAGGGUCGUUUUCAUUGGCCUUCAAAGCAGCUAUUAAUUAUAUCUCAUGUAUUGCAGCUAGACCGAUUCAUUUACGUCGUUCAAUAAUAUAGAUUUUCAUUCAAAGCAGAUCAAAUCAAAUGAUUAGAAUUCCACAUAUGCCAUACAGUAAAGUAUACUGUAACAUUUGAAUAAAUUUCAUAUUGUAUGCUUUUUGUAAUAUUUAAAAUUUUUUACAUGAUUAUUUUUUAUUGUUAUAAUUUAUAUAUUUAUAAUAUAACUUUUAGGAGGAGGUCAAAUUAAACGUAACAGCAGACUUUCGUUCGCAAACGCAGGUGUAGAGCCAUAACAUCGGGCUUUUGCUAAACUAUUAUAAAGAAAUUUGCCUUUAUUGCGUGUUCACCAUAAUACAUUAGUUUCUAGAAGCAAGCAAAUCACUAUUAUUCUUGUUGUUGAUGAUGAAGACCCCGACGACAAUGAUUUAUGUAUACUACUUGUAAAGGUUUUGUAUCAAAAUUCUAAAAUAUAAUAUCAUUAAUCGGCAUAGCAGUUUUGGUGAUUAUAAAUAGUCUUGUCGUCGAAGAAAUGUUUCACCGUGAAGUGGUAAUUAUGGUAUCGCUGGAAUCAGUAUCUUUUACUCAUCUGAGGCCCGUGUAUGUAUUUAUUGAUAUGUCAUAUUGGCCGUACACGUCUUCGCAGUUCUUAUAGCCUGUUUAUCUCCAUAUAUUCGAAGUAUCUAAAGCGAGUAUUUCGAAGCUCAGUCGUCCGUUGGCCAAUCAACAGAGAGGUCGGCAUGGCUGCAAACAACAAAGACGAAAAUCCGCCUUUUUUCAGCAGGCUUGUGGUUUUUGUUGUCUACAGCUGAUAUCUUAAGAAGUGUGGAAUAACCUUAACGAGCAGACGUACCAAUGUACAUUUCUUGAUAUGACCGUUUAAAAUAAAACGAAAAAAAAUAAAAUAAAACAACAA